rnacentral:rRNA from 1 species
GAUGAACGCUGGCGGCGUGCCUAAUACAUGCAAGUCGAGCGAACAGACGAGGAGCUUGCUCCUCUGACGUUAGCGGCGGACGGGUGCGUAACACGUGGAUAACCUACCUAUAAGACUGGGAUAACUUCGGGAAACCGGAGCUAAUACCGGAUAAUAUAUUGAACCGCAUGGUUCAAUAGUGAAAGACGGUUUUGCUGUCACUUAUAGAUGGAUCCGCGCCGCAUUAGCUAGUUGGUAAGGUAACGGCUUACCAAGGCAACGAUGCGUAGCCGACCUGAGAGGGUGAUCGGCCACACUGGAACUGAGACACGGUCCAGACUCCUACGGGAGGCAGCAGUAGGGAAUCUUCCGCAAUGGGCGAAAGCCUGACGGAGCAACGCCGCGUGAGUGAUGAAGGUCUUCGGAUCGUAAAACUCUGUUGUUAGGGAAGAACAAAUGUGUAAGUAACUAUGCACGUCUUGACGGUACCUAAUCAGAAAGCCACGGCUAACUACGUG